CUGCCUAGCAACUAAUCCUAGCUAGGAGAUGACAGUAAGUGGUUGGUUGCCUGAGCUCAGCAGUGGUGAGAAAUAAAUCAGCUGUAGUGGAACUGCCCCAAAAUAAGUUAUUACAGCUUCUUUGCAUUUAAGAUUCAGAGUCCUGGAUUUAAGGGACCCUACAGAGAACUACUAGAGCAUAUGGCUGAGGAUAUGGGCUUGAAGCCUGCCACAGACAAUAAGGUUGUUCUUAGUGACAUUGACAUCUCACUGUGAAAACUUUCACACUGUUAGACUACACACGUGGGCUGCCCUGGAAGUGAUUCUUAAACUGGAGAAGAUCUCUGUAGAUGUGAGGAGGCACAAAAGGGACAGUUUAUUCUUUCGAAGUUGCUGGAACUGCUUGCAGUAAGAAAUAAAAGCUGUGCGUCAAUCAA